GACGAACGCUGGCGGCGUGCCUAAUACAUGCAACUCGAGCGGGUUUAUCCUUCGGGGUAAGCUAGCGGCGGACGGGUGAGUAACACGUAGGCAACCUGCCUUUAAGACUGGGAUAACUAUCGGAAACGAUAGCUAAGACCGGAUAGCUGGUUUUCUCGCAUGAGAGAAUCAUGAAACACGGAGCGAUCUGUGGCUUGAAGAUGGGCCUGCGGCGCAUUAGCUAGUUGGUGAGGUAACGGCUCACCAAGGCGACGAUGCGUAGCCGACCUGAGAGGGUGAACGGCCACACUGGGACUGAGACACGGCCCAGACUCCUACGGGAGGCAGCAGUAGGGAAUCUUCCGCAAUGGACGCAAGUCUGACGGAGCAACGCCGUGUGAGUGAUGAAGGUUUUCGGAUCGUAAAACUCUGUUGUUAGGGAAGAACAAGUACGAGAGUAACUGCUCGUACCUUGACGGUACCUAACCAG
rnacentral:rRNA from 1 species